rnacentral:lncRNA from 1 species
UAGAAAGCUUGCUCAGACUUCCUUAGGGGCAACCCCUCUCUCAAAGCAGCCUCAUCAAUUUGAAUAACGUUGAUACCAGCUUUCUCAAGAUCCUCCACUUCAUCCUUGAUGGCCAAAGCAAUCUGGUAGGUAGUCUCAAAUCGGGGCUGGUCAUUUCUAACAAAGGACCAGUUAAGAAUGGUGACAGGGCCUGUAAGCAUUCCCUUCAUUGGGCGGGCAGUCAUGCUCUGAGCAGCAGAUGACCAGAACACGGUCAUUGGGUUGGGGCGGCUCACAUCACCGUAGAUGAUUGGUGGCUUCACACAUCGAGAUCCAUAAGAUUGCACCCAGCCAUUGACGGUAAAGGCAAAGCCUGAUAAUUGUUCUCCAAAGUACUCAACCAUAUCAUUCCUCUGCCAUGAGAACAUACAAAUAAUGAAUUAGAGGGGCACAUAAAAAGAAAAAAUCUUAAAAUAGAUGAAAAAUAAGAUAAAGAAUUUCCAGCUCUUUAAUUGAUAAUAACUAAAAAAAUUUAAGCAGUAGAAUAUCUCUCUCUUCGCUUUCUUGAACGGAUAUUCAUAAAGGAAAUCUCACCUCAGGCUCCCCAUGGACAAGGACAUCAAUGUCGAGCUCUUCCUGAAGCUUGACAACGUUGCUAAUUUCCUCCUUAAUGGCCUUGACAUACUCCUCCUCAGAAAUCCUGAGUACAGCACACAUCAGCACAAUUACUAAUGCAAUAUUAAUGAAAUAGUUAUGAUUCAUAACUUUUAUGAAAAAUACGGAACAAUUAAUUUCACUCACUUCUUGGCCUUGUAUUCACGACGGACCCUCCUGAGUUCAAUGGUCUGAGGGAAUGAUCCAAUGGUGGUGGUUGGGAGAAUUGGAAGGUUAAGCUUCUUCUGUUGAGCAUCAAGUCUAGCACUUACAUUAGUGGCACGGCGGUGGUCAGAACCCUUCAACGCAGCAGCCUGGGAGGCAAAAGAAAAGUCAAUUCAAAGUACAAAACCAUUUUAACAGCAUGUCAAUUGGAAAGGCAAAUGAAUUGAAAGCACUUACAGCCUUUUGAACAGCCUCAUUGGUCACCCUUGGGGAGGACUUCCUUGAAGCCUGAGCUGCGGCAUUAGCGGAGAAAAAUGCCUGAUGAAAAAACAUAAAAGGUGAGUUAUAAUUAGGGAUCAGUACCACACAGAGAGAAACAAAACUCAAAAGAAUCCUGAGAAAACAAUGUUGAGGUGAACAAUGUCAAACCCCAAAAUGUGCAAUCUAAUACAGAUAAUAUUAUACUGCCAACUCUUCUAACUUUAUGAUUAUUAUAAAAAAUUGUGCCUCCAAAUUUAAUUAUAUGCCAAAAUGCACGAAAUUUGUGAUUUAUGAACAAAUCUGAUCACCUAAAUGAAAAAUAAGGUUUUACCUCAUCCUUGUGACCAGCCAAGGCCUUGGCCAAAGCAUUAACUUCAACAAUUUUCUGGGCAGCAAAAGCGAGCCAUGAUUUUAUUUCCUGGUCCAGCUUGGUCUCAUUAACAAGAUCAACAGCGGUGUGAAGAAGAGAGCAGGAGGUGGAGACAACAAGUUUAUCUGCACGGGACAAACAAAUAAUUAAUGAAAUGCAACUUUAGAAACUAAAUUAUUUGAUAUUAUCACUAAAAACUGUAGAAAAGUUGAAUACCUUUGCCAACAAUGCCUUCAAGAGUCUGUAAAGUACUUAGGGAGGCAGAAAGAUCAUUAGCCCAAAUGUUCCUUCCAUCAACCAAUCCGGCAAAGAGGUAUUUUCCUUUAGGGAAUUCACCCUUAAUCAAAUCAAGGGUCUUAGUACCACGAACUAAAUCAAAACCAUAUGCGGUGACACCUUUCAAGGAAGUGAGGGUCUUGAAUGCCUCAGCAGGAACAUCAGCAAAGUAGGUCUCAAUAAGAACAUUCAAGCCAGAUAGAGUUGAUUCCAGGUGAGAGUAGGCAUCAGUGAAUGCUUGCAACUUGUGAGAAUCAAGAUCCAUAACAAGCGUGGGCUCAUCAAACUGAAUCCAUGAAGCUCCAGCAGCCUUAAGCUCAGAUAUAACUUCCCUAAACAGACAUCAUAGUUGGAACAAUAAGUUGGAUACUUCAAAUUAACAGAAGCAAGACAGAGUAUAUCUGAUAUACAAAGAGUAUCUUACUUGUAGAUUGGAAUGAUUUUUCCAAGAAGAGAGAGAAGAGAAAAGGACUUCUCAACACCCUUUGCUGGUUUCGAAAGCAACAAGUAUGACACAGGACCAACAAGGACUGGAAUGGUGUCCACUCCAAGCUGCAUAAAAAAGAUUGGAUUAAGUUUUCACCAUAAUUAACGGGGUAAACAGACUAGGAUUUCCAUUCAGAUAUGCAUGUGUUUGUGUUUACUUGUGUGCCUCUCUGCCUAUGUGUGCAGACAUAUAUACAGAACAAAUUAUAUAAAGAAUAGAGAAUGAACAUAUCUCAUAUACAUACCGCCUUAGCCUCCUUGUAUUCCUCGACGGCCUUGUGAGAAGCAUAGGAGAAGUUGACAUCAGGUCCCAACUCAGGGACAAUGAAAUGGCUGGAUUAGUACAUUAAUUAAGUUAGUAUAAACCAUACGAAUGCAUAAUAAUAUGUUGAUACUUUUAACAAACAUAAUGCUGAGAGAGGGUUUACGUACUAGUUGGUAUCGAACCACUUGGUCAUCUCCAUAGCAGGAACUGAGGCAUUUCCUCUGGCCAUGGAGAAGUAUGUGUCAAAUCCAAUCUCACCACCAUUCCAUCCAUAUCUUGGUGGAACAGCCCCGAGCAAUGCAGUGGUGUCAAGCACGUGAUCGUAGUAUGAGAAAGUGUUGCUGGGGAUGUGCUUGAUCCCAGCAUCAGCCAUCUGCUUCCAGAUGGAAGAUCUCAGAUCAGCUGCCACCUUCUGUAAAUCUUCGGCACUGGUCUUCCCAUCCCAGAAAGAUUCCAAAGCAAACUUGAGCUCUCUCUUGGGGCCCAUACGAGGGUAUCCAACAAUGUGAGACGCCAUUUCUCUGUUUGAUCAGAUCAACAACCAACACAACUUAGCUGACUCAACAACUAGAAGAAGAACAUUUUCACGAUGAUCAGGCAAUAAAAAGUUUAAGAAAAGUUUUAAGUUACAUCAUGUCAACCAUUCAAAACACCACGACAGAGAGAAAAUUAUACACAAAAGAGUUGAUUGAAAUCAAGAACAACAAAAGUUUAUACCCUCCGAAAAUUUCAAAUGAGAACAGAUUCACAAUAGAGCUUCCUUAGUUAUGAUUAUUAUGCAACUAAAUAAUAUCAGAAUUGAUUUAAAAGAAUCAAAAAAAUUAAUUUUAUGAAACGUCUCUGUUAUCUUCAUGUGAAAAUGAAAGAAAAAAUACUGAUACUGAGACAUCCUGAAGAACGACAUAGAUGCCUGAAUUAUAAACACUCAAUCAAAUCCAACCAGAGAACCUACAACCUCAUAUAGCAGAACUUUGUGCUUAUGGAUCUAAUGUUUAAAGCAAGGAAUCUCAUCCUGAAAUCGUCGUAUAGCAGAGAAAUGGUCUCACUUAUAGAUCUAAUGCUACAUGCAGGGAAUUUAUCUGAACCACUUAAUAAAAUCAAAUUUUUAUUUGGCCUUAUCUUUAAGAAAAUCAUAACAGCCAAAAAGAAACCCACUUAACUCAGAGAUCUACAGCAAAACCCAAAAACCCAAUAACAGAUCUACAAAUACCAAAACCAUAACAUACUCAGAUCUGCAACCCAAAAUGCCCAACAACCAAAAUCCCAAUGCCACCAAAUGUUCAUUCAAUUAAACCAAAGGGGUAUCCGAAAAAUCCUAAAUUUUCGCAAAAUCCAACACAGAAUCGCAGAAGUGGACACUAACCAGUGUAGAUCUCAGCGUAAAACCAAAAAAUCAAAUCAAUUUUUUUACAAAUGGUAAACAAAAGAGUGAAAGGUAAGCUCUAGAUCACGUUGGCAUGGCAAAAAGGGUUGGAAAUGAUGGGAAAAAAAAAAAAAAAAAGGCAGCAAUACACAGGGGUCUGAGAGAGAAGCCUAAAAGAAGAGUGAGAUACUAAGAGGAGGAACAGAACCAGAAAAUGGAGGGGAGGGUCUUCGUACCUUUCGGAGGUAAAGAAGACUUGACUGGUUCUUUCUUCUUCUUCUUCGCUUGGUUCAGUUACUAGCGUAGAAGAGAGAGGAGCGAGUUCGAAUGGCUCCCUCUCGCCUUAUUUAUAGCCCAAUGCGCUUGCGUGGCUUUCUGCUUAGAUCUGGGAUUCUGCCCCUCCCUUGCCUUUGCCCACUCUUUCCCACGCUCUUUUUUUUUUUUUUUCAUUUUUUUUUUCCGGAUUUUUUUUUAUUUUUUUGACACUGAAUCGUGGUGUUGUUUUUUAACUAAUUUGGAAACGACGCGCUUGUUUUGGGUCGUGUGGUGGGUUUUGGGCGACGCGGUAGGUGAAUGCCUAUGGUCUUUGGUGGGUCCCACCCUUACAUGCCUGGGAAGUGGGUGGGUUUGGAAACCGGAGAGGAUUAGCCUAUAGGAGAGAGGAGUAAUAUACGUAGAUUCUCAUCUGCAGCCAUUUCUUUGAAUGAAUUCCAUUUUCUCAUCUUGCUUUUAAAUUUUAUUUGUUUGUUUUAAACGGAUCGAUUAGAUAAAACCCCCAACCUUUUUUUUUUUUUUUUUUUUUUUUACUUUGGUCCAGAUUUAUUAAAACAUUUCAAAUUCAUAUCCUGUGUGUUUAAAAAGCUACAUUCCUUAGGCCCUCAAUUAGUUUUUAGAAAAUUAGUUAAAUAUUCAUUUUUAGACAUAGUUUUAUAAAGAAACUCUAUAUCAUUCAAUGUAUAUAAAUAUAUCCAAAAUAAACCUAAAAUUUGACAGCUGUUAAUUUCUUAAAUUCAACAGCUAUAUUAAAUUACUGCUUUACUCUUUUGCUUUGUCUUCAAUAAUGGUGAGGUUCAUCAAGCUCUUUUUCUGGCUUUUCUCUUUUUUCAAUUCUCCAUUAUAUCUUCGUCGUCUCCACCACAGCCCUCGCCGACUCCAUCGCUGCAACCCACCGCCGAUUCACCUUCCCCAAAAACUCCAUCUUCGAUUUCCCUCCUUCCAUCUCCGUCAGAGACUCCAGUGAACGCAUCAUCCUUCUUCACCUUUAACGCCACCGCAAUUAUCUUCGUCGGCCUACGACACGCCUCCAGUUCCUUGUCCAUUGUCGUCGAAUCUGUGCGACAUCAACCUCAGCAACCUCAAUGCAGAUGGAGACAGAUCUAAGAACUCCUCUGGAGGAAUGAGCAUGUAUGGAUACACUGCCAGGAGAGAGAUUCUCUUAAGAACAACUCAGUCUCUCAUGCACAAAAGCUCUUAGAGGUUAUUGUGAAAAUUUUAAUUUAUCGUAUUUUUUGUUGUUGUUAAUUUCUGUGUUUGCUUGGUGUAUGAUUGAAUUGAGGUUUUGGCAAUGGUGAUAUGGUGAUUCAAUUUGAUUCUUCAUUCUUUGACACGCCAACGGUGCUAGAGUUAGUGGUAGUUAGAAUUUUGGGAUGAGUUCUUGGCAUAAAAUACUCAAUUAGUCAAUAUGAGUCAUUGAUGUAUUGCUUUUUCUAUUUUAGAAUGAUAUAAUAAUUGGAAUUAGUGAUUUAGAAUUCAUUAUGCUUGUUUUUCUCACUGUUGUUGACUUGUUUGGCUCUAUCUGUGUAUGCUAUCUAAUGUUUGGUUACUAAAAAAAUUGAACAUAAGUAAAGAAAUUUGAUAAUUACUGUUCUUGGAUUUAGAUUCUCAGUGAUCUAGGUUAUUUGUGAUUUUAAUGCGUAAAACACUGUUUAAUGUUGACUUGGUUUUGAUGUCUGGUAUUGUUUCGAUUCUUUAUCAUACCAAUUAUGCAAAUGAAAUGAUGUAGUUGUUAACUUCCAAUAAGUGGUAUGAACAUUUGUUAUACUGUUCAUACCUCGCAACUGAGAUGAUUUCUAUGACAUAGUAUUAACAGUGUACUUCUAUGACAUAGUAUUAACAGAUUUGCAGUAAUAAAGCAUACUCUAUAUUUUGCUCUAUAUAUAGCUGUGUACUUGAAGUUUAUGAUAUACAUAAUGUGAUUUUUACUAUGAAGAUAGUGUUAUGACAUAGUAUUAACAGUGUACCUUUUUUUUUUUUUUUCUUGUAAAGGUAUUUUCUUUGUGAUUGUUUCUAGUGAAACUGUGAACAAUUGGAGGUGGUUUCUGCAAAAGAUAUCAAAUAUCUUGCUGGUUUUUUUUAUUUAUAUUUUUGAGUUUUUUGUAUGAAAUGGUAUUAACAAUGUACUUCUAUGACAUGGUAUUAUCAAUGUACUUCUAUUAUAUGGUAUUAACAAUGUACCUCGGGCUUGCUGAGCUUGUUUUGGGUUUUUUUUUUGAGUUUUUUGUGUUGGUUUGUUUUAAGUUAAUCAAUGACAGUCAUAUAAUUUAUAUGAACUUCAACACUCAUUUCUUAUGUAGUAAAUGGAUUUUGGGUGUGUUUUUAAAGUGCAUUUCAUAUGGGGGUUUUUUUUUUAUAAUUUCAACUAGGGGUGGGCACGGUCCGGAUUGGUUCGGUUCUACUCUCAAACCACAGCUGAACCAAUAAGAAAAUAACGGUCCGGUUUGGUUCGGAUUAGCCUAAAAUCAUAAUGGAAACCGAACCAAUCCAAACCACUUGUAAUCGGUUUGGUUCGGAUUGGUUCCUAACACAAAACCAUGCAUUUUUCAACCUGCUCUUACAUUAUAAUACUAACAUUUUGCCAUUAUAUCAUUCCAUUCCAUUCCAUCAAAGGCUAAUACAACAUCAUUCCAUUUAUUCAAAGGUUGUCCAAUGUCUAGCAUGCAUCUAAGUUCACAAUUUCCAUCAAAACAAACAUAUACAAAAUUUGCAUUAACCAAGUAGCAUUAAAUUUACUCAUUGCAUUUAUCACAAUACAAACAAAUGAAAAGCUUUUAUCACAGAGAGGUAAAUACUUUUAUCACAGAAGUGGAGUUUGAAUGCGUAUGAAAUUAUGAAAUGGACCCAUUAAUUAAGAUAGAUAGAGUAAGAAGAGCCACACAACACAAAGAGCAAACACACAUAGUAGAGAUAGAAAGAGAGGAAAAUACAAGCACACACAAAUAACUGGGAUAUGCAAAUUAGAAGAUCAAAACGUGCACCAACAUUCAGAUACGCGGACUCACAAAACGCACACAAACCUUGCCACAUGUAAACUAAAUUAAAUAAAUAAUAAAUUGAUUUAUAAUCGGUCCGGUUCGGUUUAGGACAGUUUUUAAAACUCUCAAACCACAGCUGAACCAAACCAAACCGGUUCGGUUCGGUUUUUCAAAAUGUUAAUUUUUUCUUUGGUCAAAACCAAACCAAACCAAUCCAAUAUAAUCGGUUCGGCCGGAUUGAUGCCCACCCCUAAUUUCAACUCCUAUUUUGGAUAUAUUAGUGAAGCUCUCAUUAGUUUAUCCGUAGGAGUCAAACCCCAACACCUCUUUUUUUUUUUUUUUUCUCCGGCCCUUUCUUCUCUCAAUCCUCUCUUCUUCUUCUUCCUUCUUCUUCUCCUAUAUGCAAAUUUCUCUCUGUCAGUAUCUAGCGCCGCCUCGCCUUUGUCUCCCUCAAAAAUCGAAACCAAGCCACACCAGACCAUUUGUUCGGUGAACCAGUGGUGUCGAUUUUCAAGGGUAGUGGUUCAGCGUUGAUGUUGAGAUUUUCUCCACUAAGGCUUCGAGCUCAAUGGUCGGUUUGGACUCAAAAUCAAACUAGCCCAACCAUAAUCCAACCUUAUUUUUGUGGCAACGAUGCGUACCACUCUUUGGUAAGGAUGGAUUAUCGUCUAUAUCCCUUGCUUUGAAUGAAAAAAGCUAGUAGAUUCGUGCUCAACUUGCUUGUAGGCCGAGUUAGAGGUUAUGGCUAGUUAGACUUAGCUCAGCUUGCUUUUGAAACAAACUCAAGUCUAAGUGUGGCUCGACUUCAUGAAAAUUGAAAAUAAUAAAGCAAAUACAAAUAAGCAUAUUAGUAAACAAACUCGAGUCUUCAUUGUCACAUUGGUAAAAAAAAAAAAUUACAAUUUGAAAAGGGAAAUUUAUUUCUUCUUAAAAAGAUGCUCUUAGCCAGUACACUUGUUGAUUUUCAAAUUUAUGAAUUUAGAAGACAUUAUAAUUAAGGUAAAAAAAAUAUGGUGUGUAUAGACUAUUAUAAUUCAUGUAUGUUCAAAUUUGGACAAGAAAGAAAGAAGAAAACAAAUGCAUUUCAAAUUAUUCUUUCCAUAUAGUCAUUUCAAAUGUACUACAUCUAGUUAUUUCAAAUUUAUUCAAUCUGAUGUGGUUGUUGUUUUAAGAGAUAUUUAUUCAAAAACUCAUGUUAACAUGAUACAUUAUAUAAAAACCAAUAUAGAGCCCAUUUGGAGAGAACAACCCAAAACUAGUUCUAGUGUGUUAAAAUUUAAUAUGACUCAGUUUCUAGUGUGUAAAAAUUUAAUAGGACUCGGUUAGAAAAUGACAAGUGAUCUGUCAUGUUAAAAUUGGCCUAUUUGUGAAAAGCUUUUGUUUUUAUUGCAAAUUUAGCUUUGUUGUCAAAUCCAAAUCCCUCCUUUCAAAUCCUUUCAUCCAAAUGGAAUCUAAAAGUUUUAUAAAUAAUAUAACAAGAAUACUACUCCAACGCCAAUUUUUGGACAACAACUUAUGUGUUCGCUCUCCAUGUUUCAUUUGUUUUCUUUUUGGGCUCUAUACAUCAAUUGGGAAUCUAAAACUUAGUGUCACUUUAACAUACAUAAUGUUAUCGAGAGAAAAAAAUUAAGUUGAAUCAUGAUCCAAUUAAAUGUAUGUGUGAUGUGCAGAAAACAAUACAAAGGAAUGACUAUAAUAUGUUGAAAAAAUUUGGAGAGGUGAGAGAAUCAAAUUUGAGAAGAAAUUCUUCAAUCGUGCAGAUGUACCACGUCGCCCUUCCAACUAGACACAUAGUAUUGGAGCGGAACUAGCAUGAGGCCAUGUGGGAACCAAAUGCAUAGGAAAAUUUUCAAAUUUGAGACAUCUUGUAUAAUUAUAAAAAUAAAUUAUGAGGUUAUAGCAAAAGAAAUGUGUUUUAAGCCAACGAUGGUUGGUUGAGUUAGUAAGGAUCGUUCUCUUCGUUAUUAAGGCCUAGAUUCAAUUUUCGCUACCGAGAAUCCCUCUUGGUGGAGUAACUUGUAAAAACCAAAAAACAGACUAGACCCUAUUUGUAAGCUCUUAAAGAGGCCUUGAUAUGCCCUGACCUUGAAACAUUUUAAUUUUUUUUAACGAGGAACCGCCUAAUAGUAGGGCUUAUUGGAGCGACCAUAUUGUAUGAACCCCGGAGAGACUAAUGCAGCAACCCACCGCCACGGCGCCCCAACUUAAAUAUUUGGUUUGAUGACCGAACCCGCGACCUGUACAGCACACACAAGCGCAAGGGUGGCUUGUUGGUAAACUUUCGUAAGGUUUAAACCUGCUGUGGACAGCAUAGCAAAAGCAGGAUAUCCAACACCACCCACUGUUCAUCACGCGCCUGAAGAGCGCUUACUAAACAUCGUCUCCUCUCCCCAGGAAUAUUAAAACUUCUGUGGUGAUUUUGAAACGGUUAAAUUUGUGGAGAAAUAAAUUGGAAAUGAUGAAAUAAUUUAAAAUAUAUAUUAAUAAUAAUAAAGAGUUGGAGACUGAUUUUUUUUUUCUUUCUCUAAAAUAGACUGAGAGUUGGUGACUAGAGUUUUUGGGGGUUGGUGAGGACGCCACUUGUUUGCACUAUGUUUGGGAGAUUACAUUUUUCUGAAUUUAUUUAUUGUACUAAAUAUUGAUUCAAUUACCUAAUGUACCCUUUAAUUUGUAUGAAAAAGUAUGAUGCGGAGACAUGUUUUGUUGUUGAGUGAGUAGGUGUGAUGGGACCAUAUUUUAUACUUAAAACGCAAGAUAAUAUAGUAAAACAAAAUUAUGGCAGCUAUGAAAAUGCGACAAGAUUUUGAUGUUAUGAGGAGCUAUUGUUACUGUUAUUAAAAUUAAUUCAUGUUUAAUUAUAAGAAGAAAAUGAAUGAUUUUCAUUCCUAACUUUUUUCGCUCGUAUUUAUUUACAUGUUCUUAAUUAAAUGCGAUAAGAUUUUAAUAUUUUGAGGAGUUAUUGUUACUGUUAUUAAAAUUAAUUUAUAUUUAUUUAUAAGAAAAAACUAAAUGAUUUUCAUUCGUAACUUUUCCGUUGGCGUUUGUUUACAUAUUCUUAAUCAAAUGUGACAAGAUUUUAGGCCCCGUUUGGUUCUUGGGAAUGGGAAUUCAAUUGCUUUCCCAUGUUUGGUAAGUCCAAGCAUGGAAAAUGGUUGUCUGGCACAUGAGAAAGUACGAGGGAAAGUGAAGCCCUCCUCUUAACUUGAGUUUUGUUUUCCUUUCUUAUAGGAAAGUUUAGGAAAAUGAGCCAACAUUCAAUACACAAUUUUUAUGACUAUUUUGUCCCUAUGAACAAUUUAUAAUUACAACGUAUCAUUAAAUGCAUUCUUUUUUUUAUUUGAUUUAUUAUGGAUAUAAUUGAAAAAUUAUACAAACUUUGUUUUCCAUUCCUACUCAAAACAAACAUGAGAAAGAAAACAAAGUGAAAUCUCCCGGUUACUUUCCCGACAUUAUCAAACGUGAGAAAUGAAUCUUUCAUUCUCAUUCCUUGGGAAAUGACCUGGGAAGUGAUUUCUCCUCAAAUCCAUUCCAUGAACCAAACGGAACCUUGAUAUUUUGAGGAAUUAUUGUUACUGUUAUCAAAAUUAAUUCAUAUUUACUCAUAAGAAGAAAAUGAAUGAUUUUAAUACAUAACUUCCUCGCAUUUAUUUACAUAUUUUUAAUCGAAUACCUGAAAGACUAACCACAUUCACUUAACAAUUUUUAGUUUUAAAUACGACUAGUGCAAUAAAAUGAGGCCAUCUGUAGCUUGAGAACUCAGAGAUCUCAAAAUCAUCCCAUGAAAUCUAAUUAAUAGAAAUCAUCCACCAAACGCAUCAUUAUGUUUUCAGGCCGAGGCUCCAACAAUGAGAGCAGAUUAUUGGCUUUUAUUAAUUAGUGGGUGUGAGACGACCUCCAAUGGGAAUGAGACGUCGUGGUCCCAAUUAAUGGUCUUUGCAUCUAAGGUGAGGAUUACACUCGAGGAGAGCUUAAGGCACCGGCAAUGAGCCUUGAGAAGACAAUGCACGUGAUUUAUAAAGGCCAUUUCUGGUUGUUUUUAUUGGUUGUUUGUUAUAAAUUUUAGACAACAUUGAAAAAUAACUUAAUCUAUAACAUGUGUAAACAAAAUAAGGAGUUUAUAUCAUACAUAUUAUAUUAUUUAGAUUAAUUAUAAAAGGAGGUUAGAGAGUGCAUCAAUUAAAUCUUAAAAAGGAAGGCGAGCCUAUAUCGGACCAGGGCGAACAUGGCCAUGGACAAAUCUUAUCGGGGCAAGUUGUGGGUGAGUCGAGGGUUUCAUAUUCUAAGCUCUAAUCCUAUCCAAUCUUAAGUAGUAGGUCGGACCGAACAGGCCUAAUCAUCGAGUCGGGCCGAAUUUUAGCCCAUCGAACUACCCACUUUGAACCGCGGGCCAAAUGUUUAUCCCAAACUAUAGCCCUCAUCAAAAUCCAUACAGAUCAAGCGAUCCUAGUGUAGCAGAGUGCCUUUCACAUUCCAUGUGGUACGGCUCACUUCAGCUGCUAUCUUUCUUUCUUUUUUGUCCUUUUUGAGGGACUUGCAACCGCUAUCUUGUUCAAUCAAAGAGGUGUUACACAAUGAUAUCAUUUAUUAUUUAGAUUUUAUUUUCUAGUGGGCCACGUAAACCUCUCUUUCUUCCGUCUUUGUUUAAUGUCUGGCUAGUGCCCAUCUACAAAGACUUCACCUUCUGUCUUUCGUACUCACAAAUUUCCUUUUGGCCAAAUAUAAUUUAUCUAUGUCACUAUGACUUCAUUAUGGCUUUGAUUAGAUUAAUUAGACCUUCAUGGAUGAACACAACACAUACAUGAUACAUGUAAAUGUGAAAAAUAUAAAAUAUAUAAAAAUAUAUAAAAAAUGAAAAAAUAUAAAAAAUAUAAAAAAUGAAAAAAAUAAAAAAAAAUCUUUACACCUCAAUCCUCCAUACCAUUAAUUCAAUCUGUUUAUGACAAUGAAACUUAUGAGUUACCUUUACUUUAUUAAAAGAAACAUUUUUAAUAGAGUUUGUGUCCUCUGUACUCUUUAUUUCAUUUUUGAUGUAAUAAAAUUCUAUCAGUUUUUUUUAUAAAUUUAUAAAAAAAAACAAUUUUUAAUUUAAUAGAAGACGUCGAGGACACAAAAACUGCGUCCUUGAAAUUUAAAUAAAUUCCAAAAAAACAAAAAUAAUAUUCUUAAAUACCAAAUAUAAACUUUAUUCAUAUGACCACAAAAGACAAUAAACUAAUGCAACACAUACAUUACUAACUAUUUUCAGAAGUUUACUAAACUAGAAAUUACAAUUUACUAAAAAGCUCAUCUCCUAUUCAACUCUACAAAUCAAGUUGAUAUUGCCACACCCAUCUGAAUAUAACGGACAGUGACUAACAUUCCUCAGUACUAAUAGAACUUCUUGUGGUGUUGGGAACAAAGCAAUUUAAAAAAAAAAUACCUAUUAAGAACAAGUUUGUCAAAUAUUAGUCUUUUUAUAUUAUUUUUUUAUUGAGGGAUUCUUCAACUGGCAAGAACCUAUCAUUGACUAUACAAGUUUUACUUUAAUAAACGGAACCCCUUUUUUCAUUUUAUUAUACAAGCGUUAUUGGGGGGAAGGGGGGGGAAGGGAAUCGAACAUAGGACAUCGAGUGCAGGGAUAAAUACUCUUAACCACUUGAGGUACAAUCCCGAAUCCCCUUGCACCAAACUAUCUAUUUUUUCAGUCUUCAUUUAAAUAUAUUCUUGUAAAAAAUUAAAAAAAUUAAAACUCAUUAAGACAUCCAGUAGUAACCAAAAGAAUAGAUGAACACCACUUUUUUGGGUCUUUAAAUGGUUUUGGAUAAUUCAAAUACAAUAUAGAGUAAUGAUGUCCCCCAAAUAAUAUUAUGGGUUAAUCGUUUUAUUAGUCCCUGAACUUAGACCCGUUUGCAUUUGAGUCCCUCAAUUUCCAAAAUUGUUCCCAUGGUCCUUUAACUUCACUUUUGUUAGGACAAAUGGUCCUGUUAUCAAUUUUGUUAACUUUUUCUGUUAAAUGCAGGGGUAAAAUGGUAUUUUUAUAUUAAAACAAAAAUAAAUAAUAAAUAAUCAUAUCUUUAAAAUAACAAUUUAUUGGGGGAGUAGAAAUCGGGAUAGGGGAGGGGGGGAGAGAGAGAGAGUUUAAUUUUAAUUUUUUAUUCAUAUUUCAAUCAAUUUAAUACAAAAAUACCAUUUUGCCCCUGCAUUUAACAGAAAAGUUAACAAAAUUGACGUCAUGAUCAUUUGUCUUAACAAAACUGAAGUUGAAGGACCACGAGAAUGAUUUUGAAAAUUGAAGAACUCAAAUGCAAAUAAGGUCUAGUUCAGGAACUAAUAAAACGAUUAACCCUAAGAUUAUUUAAGGAAUCAUUCAAGCUUCCUAUGGAAAUAGCAAAUAUAUGACGAAGUAUAUAUGCACAUGAAUACCACUACAAAUAUUUUUAUUAUAAUUAAUAUACCAAACAUGCAUUAUAUAUACAUAUUGAAAGGACCCACACCCUCGGAUUUCUUCUUGGAACUCGAGCAUAGCGCAUGUCUGACAUCUAACAGAUGUCGAACCCACAUUACUAAAAUUUCCUUCACCCUUGUCCGGAAAAAAACCAAGGGGUUUGACUACUAAUAAAAAUUCAACAGAGUCUCCCCUGUAAUUGGUGUUAGAAGUAUGCCCUAGAGCCAAUCAUGAGAUGCAAACUCUAAGGAUAUUUCACUUAAUUAAUUAAAGGCAUUAUGUUGUUUUGAGUAAUUAUCUUAGUUAUUUACUUAACCAACAAGUCCAUGGAUCGUGAGACUUAGAAAAUAACUUAAAGAAGUUAAGUUCAGGAGACCUUUCUAUACCAUGUCCACAUAUUGUUCAUGAUCAUAGGAUAAUCAACUGGACAUUGAUAAUCCACAAGGACCAUCAUGCACUAUAUAUGCUCAAUCAGGAGGAUGACUGGUCUCGAGUCGUUCACGUGGAGACACUAAGAUAAGUGUAUGGGUGUUCGUUAGAGAAUGAAUUCACUGAACGCGAUCAACAGAGAGAACUUGAAUGGAAGUUUUACUUACAUGUCAAUCAGGAUCUCUCAAGUUGGAAUAGUGCAAAUUAGUCAUUGACUUAAGGCACCACGAUGUUGAAGCAUUGUGCUCCUUUGGGCAUAACCCAAAGAUAUGACUAGGGUUCAUGUUCAAUUCAUAGAGACAUUUAAGUGUACCACAAGGGAUCUCUAUCUUCAUUAAAGAAGGAGAAUGCUCAGAAGAUGUUAUUCGAAAAUCUUUGGCCAAGGCAACGAGCUAGAUCAAUAAUAGAGAUUAUGAUCAUGCUCCAAUGAAUCACAUGAGAUAGUAGAUCAUGCUAUGAAUUGACAUGAAUUUCGCUCCCCAAUUAGCGUGAUCAAGAGCAUUGAUUAAGAGAAGAACCGUAUUGCACGAUAAUCUCAACUGAAAAGGUUUACAGCCCCAUUCUAUAUUGGAUUGGGCAACCAUGACAUGUUACUAGACAUCACUCAUGGUUUGUGGAAGCCCUGAGAACAAAGAUAUAAUCUAGUUCUUAUAAAGGGAGAAUUAAAAGGGAGUUUUAAUUCACAAUUAAUCAAUAUAGAGUUUUGGAUUGCCCACUACCUCACCAAUUAGAACUUCGUGGACCACACAUUGAUAAAGUUAGAUGAAAGAAAAUAAAUAUGAUGUGCAUAGACUUAUUAAUUUAAUGGAGAUUGAAUUAAUUAAGAUAAUGCGGCAAAAGGGUAAUUUGGGCCUAAACCAUAAAAUUAGGUUCAAGGCCUAUUGGGCUGGGACCCAUUGGGUUAGUUAAGACAUGUGAAAAAUAGUAGGAUGACUGUAUGAGCCCAAGAGACCUAAUGAAAACCCAUGGCUGGUCUUACCUGGAGGGAUACUUUGGUCUCCUUCUUGUGUGUCUAUAUAAGUGAACUUUGUCACUUGAGAAAAUUAGGGUUUUUGAGCAAGUUUCAAGAGAGGAGUUAGAACACGACCUUGCUCCUCCCACCUAGCCAAAACUGGCCACCCUAGGAAGUGAGAACUAGCAUCCUUUCCUUCCUAGGUUGCAUCAUCUCCUUCAUCUUCCUUGGUGUAGAAAAGUUAGAGAUCACCUCCAUUGGUGAUUUGGUGAAUCUUCAAGGCCUUUCAUAAGGUGAUCAACUCAAAGGAUGUCAACCUUGAGUAGUGCUUCAAGGGUAAGGUUUCUAUACUUUUUUCUCUUAGUCUAGAAUGUCUAGGAGUGGAACAAUCUUAACCAAACCUCAAGAUACUUGGAAUUAGUUAUGUUAAAUCUCAUAAAUUAAAAUUUUAAAGCUUUUGUUGCCUAAGGUUACUUGUAGCAUUGUCUUUGUGGCUAAACAUAACUAGGAUUUAGUGUUUCCUUCAAUUGGCACAUUCCCUACAUUUUUCGCUCAUACUGUUGCUACUACGACUGAAUGAGUUCGGAGAUCGUGAAGAUGAGGUCAGGUAUGUCUUAUAUGUAUUUCAGGUUGUGUGAAAGAUCAUGAGCACAUGUAUGGAAUCUAAUAGACAAACCCUUUCAAUUCCUUCAUACUCACAUAGCUUUUCCUUUCCAUCAACCUUUUUCUCCCUUGCAGCCACCAACUUACUCAUUCUCGAAUUUGACAAAAUCCCAUUCACUUUUGACCAACACUUCGCCUAAAGGUCCAUCUUAAGCGUCGACGGAAGGCUUGAUGGUGGCUUGGGGUUCUCUUUUCUCAACACAACGGAGAAAUUAGGCACGACUAAGCCAUGGCAGAGGACCCUCUACUUCAUUUGGCUGUAUUGGUGUGAAAAUUGACUUGUUUCUUCAACGGGCUUGGUUUCAAUUCAAGUUCUUCAGCCUCUUCUAGCCUCAGAUGUUAUAAAAAUUAUAGUUUUCCUUUUUCGUAAAGCUAAAUACAAAAACCUUUAUAUUAUAAAUAACAUAUAAACAAAUUGGAAAGCCUUUAGGGUACAAUAAAACUGAAGAAAAAUAAAUUGACAGUAAGUAAAAGCAAAAUAAAUUAAAAGUAAAAAGGUGAGCUUGGUAUGGUGAAGCAAGUCAAAGACGCUGUCCUAAAGCCUUUAUAGCCUCUCCACAUGUAGGUACUGGAGGUCUACAAGACUCCAAGAUAUGACCACUUGUACACAAGCUCAAGAUCCGCUAUAAGCACAUUCAUAGACAGAUAUAAGUAUCUAAGUCACAGAACCAUUGCCCAAAAUAAUAAUAUAAUUAGAGAAAGUAUAAAAAGUAGGAGAGGAGAGAAUCAGAUUGUAGUGGUGAUUGUGGUAUGUGAUUGUUUGAGGGUGGUGAGAAUUCACCCAACCCGGGCACCUUCCGAAAGUACGAGUGGUCGGACUAAGUACUAGUGUAGAUGGAGUGUUUGUGGCCAGGUUUUGGCUAGAAGCUCGAAGGUGGCCAAAUUGUCGAAACUUGACAGCCAAAUUGAAGGAGCUUGGCAGACGAGCAGCGCUGGAUUUACAACUGGGCUAGAGGCUUGAGUUGUGUCUAGGACGAUGAAGCGUGACGGUCGAGCUGUACUCUACUACUGCCGGAUAAAGCUUGAAGGGAAAACCCGAUCAUAAUUGUGGCUGGAUUUGGUGACCAGAGGAGCUGGGGCUUGCGGGAUACGACCGGGUUGCGUCCGGAGGACCUGAGGCUUGCAUGAUGUGGCCGGAUUUGCUGAUGGAGCUAAAAACUCGAAGGAGCCUAGUUUUGUUAAAGCUUGGAGCCAGAUUUGAGGGAGCUUGGCGGCCUGGAUUUGGAUUGAUAGAGUUUGGUGGCCGAGAUUUGGAGCAGUUGAGAGUUGCGGGAUUAUAGUAGUCCGGAGCUGUGGGAAUAUUGCGGCCGAAGCCUUGGGGAAUUGUGGUCGAAGAUGUGGAGGGUUGCGGAGCAGGCCGGAGCCUUGGGAAUUUGAGGCCAGUGUCUGGGGUUUUUUGGUGGUUGGAGUCUUUGGGUGUUUUGCAAAUCAAGCUAAAGGGUUUGGAGGUUGAAAUUUAAUUGUCUUAUUAUAUAUAUAUAUAUAUGUAUGUGUGUGUGUUUGUGUGUGUGUGUGUGUAGACAAAUAUAAAUUUUAUUAUAUAUCGUAUGUAAUAAAAAUGGGUGGAGAGCUCGGAGGUCCAAGCCUACACCAUAGAUUCGAGCCCAGGAUUUCCGGAGGAUUAUGUGCACGUGACGGAGGCCUCACAAGGAAAGAAAUCACAGAGGUUGAUGAUAAUUCAGAAUUUUCCAAAGUAAGAAAGAAUCAAGCAUGUCAGAAUAUCUCCAUCAAUGCAAUCCCACGGAUUUAGAGGGUUCUCGAAAGGAAAGAAAUUUUAAAAGAGUUGACAUUUGGCCAUUAAAUGGCCAACCCAUGGGCCAACAAACACCCUAUAUAAACUUCACCAAACGAAGGCAGCAGACACACAACAUUAGACAGACAAAACUAUUUUUCGUCUUGCACUUUUCUUUCCCUAAACUUAGGAUUUUACUUUUCAAGCACCUAGUGUAGCAAGUUCUUCAUUUUUCUAGCGUAAGUUUAAAUUCUUGUUCAAUUUGUAUUUUCUUGUCUUUUAAAUUCAAGCUAUUUCAAUUGCUUUAUCUUUCGUUGUUAUUUCAUUUUAAUUAAGUUUAAUUUCAAGUUUAAUUUAGUUUAUCGUUCUUAUCGCUUUUAUUUUGUUCUUGUUUUAUUUAUCGAUUUGAUUUAUUUUAUUGCACUUUAAUUCUUGUCUUUACAUUUAAACGCUCAUUUAAUUUAAUUGCACAUUUUUCACUUAAAAACCUAAAAAUCACAAAAACAUCCAUACGAAGCUUAACCAUCCUUGAGCCCAAGGAAGUGAAAGAACCUAGACCAAGAGGAGGUUUCUUGCUUGGCCGAUCAAUCACUUGAUCAGAAGUUAGAAGUGCAACAUACCCAUCUACUCAAAUUCCAUUUAAGUCCAAAUUCGUGGUUUGGUGGUGGUAUGCCCUGCACUCAAAAGAAGAAUGACGAAAAGUUCCUUCUGUCUGUCGUUUCAGCCGAAAAGAGGAAAACAGUGAUAUUCUGAUAGUGUAUUGUGGUUGUUCAAAUGUGAAAGAGGACUUUUAUAGGCAUCCAAUAAUAUGUAACAUUUACCACAUUAAACUAGAAAAUUAAGGCAUUCAAUAUAGAAAUAAAACUUGAAAAUUAAAUAUGUAUAAUUCCUAUAAUAAAUAAAAUAAAACAUUCAAAAUAAUUAAAUAAAUGAAAACGGUUAAAUUUUUAAAACCUUUUUAAAAUUCCAACAUCAGAUACUUCCUCCGCAACUUUGAUUCUCUGAGCUCCGCGGAGGCUUUGUAUUUGGGUCCUCCCCCCAUGAUGUAGCUCUAUGUGAUGAGCCACAGUGGGACUGGCUCUUGAUCUUGUUUUGGAUUCUGGGAGACAAUGAGGGAGAUGCGGUCGAGGGCUUGGAAGAGAUAUUGAAAAGCAGGGUUUGGUUGAUGAUGGUUUUGGUGCAGAGAGCUGUUAGUGACUGCCAUUAUUGAUGAAUUUAAGGUGUUUGCAGAGAUUUUGGGUUUUGGUUGAUUUAAUAAUUAAAUAAUAUUUUAAGAAUGAUAGUGGGUUGAAAAAUAAGAUAGUAUUUUUUUAAAUUUACAUGAUAGAUGUAAAGAUAAAGUGAAUAAAGAAAUAAAACAGUGGUGUAAAAAUAACAGCAAUUAAAAGUCUAUUUAAUCGUUAAUACUAAUAAUAAAUAAACUAGAAUGGCUGAAAUGUUGGAAGUGUUCAUAUGCGGUGAUGAUGACUUUAGAUCUUGAUCUGUCGGCGGCCCAAUCAGAUAAUUUGUAUAUUUGGUUGGGUGGACAAUAGAAAUGUCGGUGGAUAAAGUCAAAGGAAUUGAAUGGCUAGCUCAAAUGCGGCCAGAUUCAAUUCGGUUGGGACGGAAUAAGCAAUUCAUUUUCCAACAAUCCCUACCCUGUGUAGUCAAUAUCAAAACAAGCACAUCUAAUAAAUAAAGAGGCAGCAAAGACCUGUAUUAGUGUAGUGAUUUAAAGUAUUGUUUCUUUUAGAAAAUGUCAUGGAUUAAAGUCUUAGUAUCUGUAUAGUGUACUGUGAUUUAAUAUAUUAUCGCUCCUCUUAAUAAAAAGGUCUCAAAAAAAAAAAAGUGGCAUUUGAUUUCCUAUUCAAGUAGAGAACUCAAAAUUUUUUAUCAAACACUUUAACAGAAAAGUUAUUUCAACAUAAUGUCAUUUUUAGUCAUUAUACACAACUCACGAUACUUUCACAAUUUUUUUUUUUACCAAAUACUUAGAAAUUGAUUAUUGUACCAACAUCACUUUUAACAAAAUGUUUACCAAAUGCCAAACUACUUUCUUUUAAAGAAAAUAUGGCAGCGAUUAUUUUCACAACAUAGCAAUGUCAAACUAACCCUUAAACUGUUUAUAAAUCACUUUUUAAAAGCAUUCUAAAAAUAACUUCUUCUAUUUUUUUUUUCAAGAAUUUGGAUAUUUUUUAGACUCAAAUUGGGUUUGGAUUUUCAAAACUGGGCAUCCAAACAGAUUUUUAGGCUUUGGACUUAAAUUAUGUUUUUAAGUUUAAAAAUUUAGAUUCAAAUAGAAUACUGUUGCAAAUAUGGGUCAAGCCAGUUAAUUAAAGAAGUGUGUCUGCCUCAUCACACCUGAGUUCGAAUCUCCUUCCCGUACAUUAGAGUAAUAUAGAAUAUUAAUUUUGUUGUCAACAGGGUCUAAUCGAGUGAAAAAAAGCUUUAAUUUACAGACCAAUAGUUUGAGGUUCGAACCUCAUAGCUCAAGUCAUAGCCCCAUUUUUUGUACUUGUUUCAUCAUUCAUCAUUAAUAAAAGGCUUAUUUACUGUAGUAUCCCCUGAAACUUUAUUCAAAUCUCACUUUAUCCCCCAGAAGUUAAAAUGGCCCACUUAACCUCAUUGAACAAGGUUUUGUGUUCCACUUUGCCCCAUACCGUUAUCUCCAUUCAUAACUCCGUCAAUUUUGAUGACGUGGCAGGGCUAUUUUAGUCUUUUUCCCACAAGUGAUGAUGUGUCAUGUGCAGACUCCACUUCUUUUUUUUUUUUUUGGCUUAAAGUGAACUAAAAUAUUAAUAAUAAUAGUAAAUUAAUUACUUCUUUAAUUAAAAAAAUUUUAAAAAUUAAUAUAAAAAACUUAUCUUCUUCUUCAUCUUUCUCUUUUCUCCAGCAACCAUCGCACACCAACCCUCCUACUCCCCACUGCCAUCUCCUAUAUCCCUCCACCAUAUAAACCACCAUACCCACAUAUCCAAACAUCAAAACUUAUCAUCUAAAUCACCAUACCCAUUAUGGGUGGUUCAGUGCUAAAUGGAGGCAUUUAAGAUUGGGAUAGUUUUAUGGCAGUGGUCUUUGGAAAUGGUUAAUGGAGAAAUUGAAAUAUUCAAGUUGGCCUAGAUUGGUAAAUACAUAUUUUGGUAUUUGGCCAGCAAAGAAAUUUCCAAACAAGUCCAGGAACAUCAAGUUCCCACAUUCAUAUAUUAAUUUUCGCCAGAUUCAGACCCGUCGUUGAUGGACGCCAUGUUUUUAGGGGUGGACUAAGGGUUUGGGUUGAUGGUUUGUGCUGGGAAAGAGGGGGCAUGGUCAGAAUAAGGGGCUAAGAAAGGAGGAGGUCGUGGCAGGGUGGGUGACUGUGGAUGUCGGGGCUGGGCUUGGGAGAAGAGAGAGGAACAGAAAGAGAGGUCGGGGUGUCUUGAGAAGUUGUGUGGUGGGAGGGCAGUAGGGGUUGGUUGCUGGGUGGGUGAUGUUGGGUAGGGUUGGAGUGGUGGUGGUGAGGGUGGCUUUGGGUUAGGUGGUGGUUGUAGUCUGAUAGUGUGAAGCUAGGGGAAGGGGAGGGAACGACAUAGAGAGAGAGAGAGAGAUGGAGAAGAAGAGAUUUUUUUAAAUAUUAAUUUUUUUUCCAGUUUUUAUUUUUUUUUAUAUUAACAAGUAAUUACAUUAUUUAAUUAUUUUUAUUAAUAUUUUAGUCUACUUAAACAGAAAAAAUGGGGCAUACAUCUGACACAUCAUCACUUGUGGUAAAAAGACUAAAAUAGUCAUGUCACGUCAUUAAAAUUAACGGAGUUAUUAAUAAAGAUAACGGUAGGGGACAAACUAGAACACCAAACCUUGGUUAAGAAAGUUAAGUGAACCAUUUUAACUUUCAAGGAAUAAAGUGAAAUUUGAUCAAAAUUUUGGGAGGUACUACAGCAAAUAAGCCUUAAUAAAACACUAUGGCUUUUACAUAAUAAAGAAAAUAAUUUUUAGAAUUAAAUGAAAAGAAUUCAAUGCUUGUGACGAGUUUUGAGUGAGCUAAAAUAAAUGGCCAGGCCCCUUUUGUGAUGUCAGGGCGUGUGAAACACACGUCUUGUCCAUGGUAGGUGUAGGUGAUAUUGAUAAUAGUUAGUGAAGCGCACUGCAGACUGCAGUACUUUUCAUCUGUUGCCAUUUUUGUCGUCGUCAUCGUUUCCUAUUUUAUCGACUUCCGCAUUCGGAUUCCUCCCCUGCAAUUUCGAAUGCACAAACACACAAACACACAAACACAACGGACAGCUUUCUUUUUGGCACUUACAUCAGAAUUAGCAAUGCAAUUCUGCGAGGCUUUUGGCACUUACUUCAUCAACUCAUUUUAUGAUAUCUGUCCAAAGCAAAAAGCUUUCUUUUUUCAUGAAUCAUGAUCGAGCUCAGUUUCUCAAACCUCUCCACAUUUUUAUUCUACGAUUCACUUUCCAGCGAUUCCAAAGCGACGAGUCCUUGACUCCUUAUGGUAAGCCACCUUCAAAGUUUCAAGUUUUGUAUAUAUAUUUAUUCAAAUGUUAAAUUAUGUUUUUUUUUUCCUUCCCAUAUUUAUUUCAUGUGUUUCCUUCUUUUGUUUUGGUCUAAGUUCUUCACAUAUUAAUAUUUGGAUUGUAUCAAAUAAUUAUUAGUCCAGUAGUAUAUAUUUAUUUUUUUAUGUUAAAAAAUGUCUUAAGUUCGAGCCAUCUCUUUCUCUAUUGAUAAAAGAAGUUAUUCCGAUUGUGUGAUUUUCAAAAUUUAAUAAAUGAAAGAUUUGGGCCCUUUGCGGCUGUGCCUAGAGGAUAACUAUAUUUUUUGAGUUGUAAUUGAUGUACCCCUGGUGAAUUUGUAUUUUGGUCUUUUGUGGUCGAAUUAUGAUUGCAACUUCACUUGAUAAAAAAUAAAAGAUUUGGUUAUUUGUAUUGUUUUUAUAAUAGGAUUGGGUAUUUCUAUUGUUACUAUAAACGAAGAAACCAACAUUAUUCCUAUUUUUGUUUGUAUGACUUCGUCAUGUUUACAUAAUGUGUUUCUUUUGUUUAUGGUUAGAAUAGGGAAUGCUAUUCGGAUUCAGAUCUUCCAAAGAUAUGGUGAAUAGAAAAGUGGGAUGCUUGAAUUUCCUUACUGAUAAUUUGUACCAUGUUUGUGUUGUGCUGAUAAAUAAUUAUCUUCUAGAUUGAAAAACCCAAUUGACCAAAGACCAUUAAACAUUUGUAUGUUUCUCUUCUUCUCUAGAAAGCUCAGGUCAGCCAAAACCAGUCAGUAGUGGGUAAGGAUAGACCAGAAAGAUAUUUGUUGUACAUCCAAAUUACAAUGAUACAAUACCUAAACUCACCAACCCACCUCAUAGAGGACAAAUCCUUUUCCUUUCCUUGGUUGGUAAUCUAUGACAGACAAAUACCCUUUUUCAUCACCAACCAUUGAUCGUUCCCUUUUCUACUCAACCCCAUCAAUCAAAGUUUCCUUUAAAUAAAAAAAUAAAAUAAAAAUGGUUUCAAGGACGUUAGCAAUACGAAAUGAUGUAAUCAGACUUACUCUAUAUAAAAAUUCAAAUAAAAGGAUGGAGGACAAAAGUCAAACUAAAACGUUUAUCAGUUCAUCUUACUUGGAAAAUGCCUCGGUGUUUUUUAUAUUAGUGACAAGUUGGUGAACUUUUUGAAGUUUAUGUUGCGCCAAUUAUUUGGAAGGAUAUUGCCCCACCAACUACAAUGUCAAAAUGCCAAAGUUUCUGACUUAUAACUUUGAAUCUAAUUUCAGAAAACAUUUUCUGCGUUUUCUUAAUUUUACCAUCUAACGCAAAUUACAGGCGUAUUCAAAAAAUGAAAACUAAAAACGGCCUCCAAAAACACCACCAAAUGAGCUCUAAUUUUUCAUUUCAUCCUUUCAUUUUUUGCAGAAAGUUUAUCUGGGCUAAUAAUUUGGGCCAUGUUAUUUCUGUCUUUCCAUAAAUUUUAUCACACAGGAGUCAUUGUUGAAGGCUGGCCUGAGAGUUUAUCUGGGCGUUGCUGUAUACUACCACAGUUUGCAAAAGAUUAUGGGCCCUAAAAAUUAAAAAAAAAAACAAUGAUAAUUAUAUUCAUUUGUAAGAUUACUAAAAUGGUACCAAAAAAAAAAAGAUGAGGAAUGGGCAAAAAUUCGACCAAACGAAAUCAAUGAUCAUGCUAUCAUUUUGUCUUUUGCAUUUCCUUAUUUGUUUUUACUUUUUGCAUGAGAGUCAUAUAUUAUUAACUGUUGGCGUAUGCUUGGUAUCGAAUAUGAAAUUGAUCGGAAAUUUAUUUGUCAUUUCAAUCCUUUUGUUGGGUUAGAGAGCAGCGGAAGUAGGAAUUCAGAUUGCUGAAUAUUCUUUCUUUGACUGAUAAGAGAGACUCAUUACAAUGAUACUUUUGGCUGCAAUUCUGCUUUUGUUUUUCGGCGCUUAAAGUCAAAUACAAAUGCUCAUAUUUAAGCAAGAUAUAGAACUCACUAGAAUAAAAAUGGAAUGCCAACUGCCAGUUACUAUCCAUGGUCUUAAACAUACAUUAACAUAGCAGACUUUUUUAGAAAUUAUAAAGUAAAGUGCGUAAGAUAAAUAACGUAAAGUAAAGUGUGUAAGAUAAAUAACGUAAAGAGGAGAAUUAAAGUACGAUAAAAUAAAUCAAAGCGAUAAAUAAACAAGAACGAAAUAAGAACGAUAAGAAUGGUAAACUAAAUUAAACUUGAAUUUAAACUUAAUGAAAAUUCAAUAACAAUAAAAAUGAAAGCGAUUAAAAUAAGCUUGAAUUUAAAUAACAAGAUAAUGUAAAUUGCAAGAAUUUAAACUUACACUAAGGAAAGGAAGAACUUGCUACACUAAGUGAUUGAAAAGUAAAAUCCAAAGUCUAAAAAAAGAAAAGUGUAAGAUGAAAAAUAGGUUUGUGUGUCUGAUGUUCAGUCUUACUUCCAUUCUGCCCUUUGGGCUACGUGGGCCAUAAUUUUCAGUCGGACUAGUUAUCAUACUCCUAGGUCUGCACACUUGGGCUUGAUCCUUGACUUGCUCCUUAACCAACCCCUUGGUUGGUUCCUUAGUUAGCUCUUUGGCUUUUGGCUGAACCAACUCGAGAGUUACCUCGCAUUGGCAUAGGUUCUUCCUUGGUUGGAAUUUUCGUCUCGAGAACCUUGGUCACCUCUGGGUACAUCUUGGCCUUGCCUUUUGCCUUAGGGUCUACCUGAAUCUCCCUUGCCCUUCUUUCCGCCGCAGCCUUUGCGGAGCCACCUAAGUCCAACCUUGGCUUAGGUUGGUCUGGCCUUGGGAAGUUGGCAUUCACCAUAUUGAUUUGAGCAUUGGGAAAAGGAUUCUGGUCGACGCCCGUUAUAGCUUUUUACAGAAAUUUCAAGAUCUUCUGAUCGAUGAGAUCUGCCUUUUGGGAGGUUCCAUUAAAUUUCAAGAUCAAUUGGUGGAUAAUGAUCUAUGUGUAUGAAAUUACAAAAAAACCUCUACCAUGUCAUCAUAGUUAAUAGACUUUUGGAUGGAAUUGAAGGCAGAAGGCAAAAUAGGUCACCAAACCACGGUCAAGUGGAGUAAGUGAGCCACUUUAAGUUUGAGGGGGUAAUAUGAGAUUUGACAGUAGUUUCAAAGAGUAUUAGUGUGAAGAAACCUUGUUUUAUAUUAGUGAUAAGUUGGUGCACUUUUUGAAGUUGAUGUUGCGCCGAUUGUUUGGAAGACAUUGCCACCAACUACAAUUUCAAGAUGCCAAAGUGAAAACAUCAUUUUAACAUUUUCUGACAUAUAACUAAAACUUUGAAUCUGUUUUCAGUAUAAAAAAAAAAUCUGUAUUUUCUCACCCUCACCACCGAACGCAAAUUACAAGCAUGUUCUGAGAAUAAAAACUGAAAACGGCCCCCGAAAACACCACCAAACGGUCCUAAUUUUUCCUUUUAUCCUAUUAUUUUUGGAAGAAAGUUUAUCUGGACUAAUAAUUUGGGCCAUUUUAUGUAUGUCGUUCCAUAAAUCAUAUCACACAAUUGUUGAAAGGCUGGCCUGAGAGUUUAUCUGGGCUUUGCUAGAUUCUACCACACUACGCAAAAGAUUAUGGGCUCCAAAAACAACAGUGAUAAUUAUAUUCAUUUUGUAAGAUUACUACAAUAAAAACAUGCGGAAUGGGCAAAAUUCCGAGCAAACCAAAGCAAUGAUCAUGCUGUCUUUUUGUCUUUUGCCUCUCUUGAAUCCAUCCAGUAGAUGUUAUGACAUAUACAAUACAUACGAUAUUUAUUAACAUAUAGCUAGGGAAUUACAAAAUAUUUAGGUGUUUUAGAAUGAACAUAUUAUGAAUGAGUCUACAACUUGUUCUGCAUAUACGUACUUUGAGACAAAAGCAGUGUCAUUGUGACCUCUAAAUGUGACAAACCCUAAUUCAACAAAACAUCCAUACCCCGAACAUAAUCCAGCAUAGCUAAAGAACAGCCAAUGGCAUAGAACGAUCGAAGCUCCCACGAAGAGCCCUAGCUCGACUCGAUUUCUUCUUCAUCCCUCCCUUGAGAUCCUCCUCUAGACCCAUAGACUUCUUCCCAAAUGCAACUGAAGCCUGUGACAGGAGAUGUGCCAUAUUAUUGUCUUUUGUGGCUCCUCCAUGAACAAGUAUCCUUGUAAUCCCAACAUAGUGCAAGGACUCAGCAAUCUGCAGUGCAGUCACACCUUUAUUAGUUCGAGCCUCAGCAUCAGCUCCUUUCUUCACCAACAACUCUAUCACAUCUGCAUGCCCCGACUCCGCUGCGCAGUGCAAGGCCGUGUAUCCAUCCUCAUCUUUAGCAUCCACAUCCACGCCCUUCUCGAGCAGUGUUCUAACCGCAUCGAUUUUCCCUUUGAAACAAGCUCUGUGCAAAGCUGUCCACCCAUGUUGGUCUCUUCCAUUGAUGGCUGCGCCUGUCUCAAGCAGCCUGACAAUUGUUCUCACCUCACCCUUCCUCGCAGCGAUACACAAGCUAUCGCCAAGUCGAAGCAAAUCAAACAGCCUUGUGUGCCCGUUCUCCGAUGCAACAUCAUAUGCUGUUCGGCCUGCAAAGUUUCUAAUGUCUUUAUUAGCACCCUUUUGCAGCAACAGCUUCACCAUGUACUCGUCCCCCAACCCGGCAGCUAUGUGUAAAGGAGUAUCGCCGUCUCUGCUGUCACGAACUUCAGCUUUUGCCCCACUCGCCAUUAAGAGCCUGGCACAAUCCCUUUUUCGCUUCUCAACUGCAAGGUGUAAAGCCGUGCUACCGUCCUUUGUCACUGCAUCAACAUUAGCUCUUUUGAUUAUAAGAAGCCUAAGAACCUCCACGUGCCCACCUGCUGCCGCUAGGUGAACGGGACCCCAAGUAGAGGACUCGGAUCUUUCAGUGCUUGCACGCCGGGCCAAUAGAAGCUCCACGAUCAAGGCCUCCCCGCAUGAAGCGGCGGCUUCAAGUGGGCUAGACCCUGACCGGCUCUGAGCCUCUACAUCAGGCUCGAACUCGAGAAGUAGCUGGACAAGGUCAGGCCGGCCUUGACUAAUAGCCAAGUGAAGCAAAGAUUGACCCUCUGAAUCCACCGAGUCGGCUGCUUUCCAAGAAGGAUCACUCUUCUCAAGAACUUCCCGAAUAUCAUCCAUCAAACCAUCUGCCACAAGUUGUGCCAAAAUAGGUGAACCAACAAACAUAAUCUUCACACCACUAUCUAUGAACACUUGCUUCUUCUUAGUGGUGAACCAGUCAUUUGGAACGGCAUCAAACGUGGACGAAGAGUCUUUGAUGGCUGCUCCGGGCACAACCACGCUAUGCAAAAGAAAAGAGUCAUGGCAAUAAGGGAAUGAGUCAGGGAGGCUUGACCCUGGUGGAAGAUGAUACACAAUUUCUAUGGUCAAUUUCUCUAGGGGAGAUAUGAUCCCGGAUUGGGGCUUCACCGUGUAGCGAUUCUUGAUGAGCGCUUGAAGCCUGAAGGCCACCGGCAUGGUGUACAUAACGUUGCGCAAAGUAAGCUGGCCGUAGCAUUUCUGUCCCGGUUCGAUCCUUAUUGCAACGAAAUUUGAUGGCUCCAAACUUAUGAGCCUGUCCAUAUCUUGAUUGAUUUUUCAGUUUGGAUACAAACUUAAACUAAUGGGUAAAAUUUCUGGGGUUGAAACAGUUAGGAGGUAGACAAGAAAAACCAUGAAAAAAAAUGAGGCAGGGAGAUUGAGAAAUAUGGAAGGAAGUGAAGGUGGAAAGUUUGGAGUUUAAGAGAAGGCAGGGAACGCCAAGGCCGGCUUUGGUGAGAUUGUGCCAAGUGGGGGGUGUUAAAAACAAUGCUGACUUGUUCUAUUCGGCGUCUCUAAGGAUAUCUUCUCUUCUGUAUAACUCCUAAGAUCACAGUUGUUGUUUUGGAGGGGACAAAAAGUUACUUUCACUCUUGCAUUAUAUUAUGCACAUAAAUUCAUUUUUAUAGUUGCUAAUCUAUUUAAUUAGCUUCUAACAAGGCUUACGUCAAUUGGCUAGCAAAGUGGGAUCAAUAAAGAAGCCAAAAAGAUGCUCCAUCUCAUUGAAAAUUCCUAGAAGCAGAAACUAAUUCUACAACAAGAUGUUCUGCAUAUAGAAGGAGCUUCAGUUGAGGGAUUCCUUAUUUGAGGGACAUCCUUGUAGGGCCCAUUCCGUAUUGUAUUUCACAAAUCUAAACUAUCUAUUUUGCAUAUACUCAUUCAAAUAUCAUUUCUACAAAAAAUCACUUGAAUCCGAUAUCAUUUAACCACUUAAUUAAAUUAUUGAAAAUUUAAAACCCGUAUGUGAACAUAUAUGAGUUUAAUUGCGAAGUAAUUAUAAAGAAUUGGUUGUGGGCAGCGACUAAAUCCUAGUAUCAUUUACUUGCCGAAUUAACUACUAACAAUGCCAUGUUCAAACAGGCACUAUGAACAUUUUUUAUCAGAUUUUGUUUCAUUUGUGUGUUGGCAAGACAAUUAGGCCCAACAACAUGUAGCUAAAGUUUGCCACGUGGCGUCAUUUCGUUUGUGAGCGUUAAGCUAGGUUUAUGUGAUUUGCUGUAUUUAAAUCUGCACCCUUGUCUUUGCAUCUUCCAAUUACAUAACCUGACCCCUUCUUUGAUUGCGAUGUUGCAACUUUGCAGCACACAAGCCAACUCUACUGACUUAUUUACCCGGAAAGAGAAAACUGCUAAAGGGUCAUUGAUUAGAUCACUCUUGCUAUUGCAAUCAGACUUGAAACUAUUGAAUAGUCAAAUAUCCAUUUGCAAUAUUAUUAGAGCUGUCAAUGGAUCUAAUUUUGAUCCGAAUCCGAUGCAAUUAAGAGUAUUUUUACCCAUUUUUCAUGGCAGAGGGUUAUGGUUGUUACUAUUCACAUGAAUAGUGUCAUCUCUUGCAGAAGGCAAAGUGUGUUUCCAUUCAUUGUCAUGGUAAAUGGCAAUUACUAUUCACUUUUUAAAAAAAAAUUAAAUUUUUUUUUUAUACAUAAACGAUUAAUUUUAAUAUAGUUUAGGGUUUUGGUGUGGGAAGUUAGGAAUAUGGAUAGGUAUUUAUAAAUAAUAAAUAAAAAAUAAACUGAAUUUUUUUGUUUUUUUUUUCAAUUAUCUAUAUAUAUAAAGCAAAAGGCAGAGAAUGGUGAAACAUUCAAAAUACCAAAAAAUCCCCUUGGUUAAUGCAAACAUUAAGAAUUGAAAUUAUUAAUUAAAUGAGGAUAAUGUAGUAAAUUCACACUUUUCAUAUUAAAAAAAAAUUAAAAUUAAAAUCAGAUAAUUGAUCCUAUUUUUAUGGAACACAACUACUCAUUAUUUUUUUAAUUCUAAAAUAAAUUUAAAUUUUAUAUAAAAAAAAAAGCCUCUCGCAAGCGCGGAAGCGCGUGCUGAGAGGCUAGUUAUUAUUAUUUCAAUUGAAAAAUAUUAGGGAGAUCACAUUGUGUACUACCCUUUCUAAUAGAAAUAAGGUGUACUUGUAUUGGUGAAGCCUAACUCUAUUAGACCAUCUUUGGUGCAAACAAGCCAGACUCAAAAUUUAGAAUUUCGAGUCCAAAAUACCCCCAAUGUUAGGGAGAUCAUAUUAAUAUGGGUGAAUUAUUAUUAUUAUUAUUAUUUUGUUCUUUUUUGUUUUUUGAAUUCAAAACCAAUGGAAACCCUAAAUCUAACUCCCCAUGUUUUAUAACAGCGGUUUCAACAAAAGAGAUAUCAUGGGCUCAAAUUUAAUCCGAUGACCAAAAUAAUAAUAUUUAAUUAAUCUAAAUUUGAUGCAAUCCAAGUUCUUCCCAAGCACUAUAAAUACACAUACAUACAUGGUUAAAUAAUCCAUCAAAAAUACAAUUAAUAAUGACGUGGACUCUAAUUUUGAGUCUGUAGAGUUGGGGAUAAAAUUGUUUGAGACAGUUGUAUACAUAAAAAGUUGUAUUUUGGAGAUGGAAAAAUUUGAGUUUGAGUCCAAACGCAUUAUAUAUGGUCUUAGUCUCAGAAAGAUGAUACAUUAAUAUGGUCCCUCUAGCAUUACUCAUUUCAAUUUUAGUCAAUUAAAGCUCACUUCCAUGUGUUGAACUCUUCAUUUCUUACAUUUUUAGCAUGCUUGAAGAAUACAGGAGUCAUGAAAAAUUAAAUAAGUGGACUACAUAAAAAUAUCACCCAUGAAAUAACAUUUUUAUUAACCUAUAUGUGACCUCUGAGGCUCUGUAACUUGAACAACUCUCUUCUUCCCCUUCAAGUUCUUUUAUUAUUAUUUUUUCUUUGCUGGCAAUUCAUAUUUUUUAUUAUUAUUUAAAAUUCAAUACCACAUGUCGGAGGAACAAUAGAAAAUAUGAAUUUAAAUUAGAAUAAUUCUCAUAAAAAAUUAUCACAAUAAAAAAUUAUCAUAAAUUCACAUAAAAUUAAUGUAAAUCAACAAACACAAAUUAGUUCAACUAGGUUUUUUUUUGUUUUUUUAAAGAUAAUGAAAGUGUAACACUCUUUCACAAGAAUAAAUUUGAUGUUCUGCUAUUGGCAUUGCUUUACUUAAGAAUGACUUGUGGGAGCUUGAGUGUUCAAUUGUUGACGAAUGUUUUAAUGUUUUAUCACAUUGGUUUGAAAAGAAUGCUCUCUAAUGAAAAAUCCUCAAUGUUUUGACAUAAAAAAUUGGGGCAUAUCUCUAAAGAAAGAAUUAUGUUAACAAAAGAAAACAUGCUGUCGAACCUUGGCUUUAGGGAAAUCACAUUAUCGUGAUACAUUAUGUAUCAGCCUUUUUUGUUUUUUGUUUUUGUUUUGUUUUUUAAUAGAAGUGGGGUCUACGUGUAUUAGUGAAGCCUACCUCUAUUAGACCAUCUCCAGUGCAAGCAAGCAAGACUCAAAAUUUGAAAUUUCGGGUCCAAAAUACCCCAAUGCCCAUAAAGGGCCAUGCCAUUUAAUCAACUUAUUAUAUUUUCAUUUAACACCUUCAAAACAAUGGUUAUAUUUUUUAUUAUUUAGGAGAAAAUGUGGGCUUUGUGUUAGUGAUGACAUUAAGUUCGAUUAGGGUAUAGUAUACUAAUCAACAUUGGAUAUGUCAUACAACAAUGUAUGGAAGAAAGACUAAUUAUUGGUUGUUGCAAUUGAUUUGUUUGUUUACACAUUGAUGUUGAUUCUGUUGAUCCCAAUUGUCAACAUGCCCAAAAGAUAAUUAAAAGAGCAAUAAAAUAGAAACCCAAUUACUAUAUCAAAUGAAGACAAUUUUUGCUUAAUAUAUAUAUAUAUAUAUAUAUAUAUACACUCUUUCAAUCAUUUGGUUGGAGCAUCAUGCUUCCGAUAACAUGAAGUCUCAACAGUACUUUAAGUUAUUGAAGUCUCCAUCUCUGUGAUGUAAUUUUCCUUCUUUUAUCAUUGAAAAUUUACUUAAAUUGUAAACAAUUAAUAUUCCGUUCUAUGUGGUUUAAAUUCAAUUCAACAUCCCGUCCCAAAAAUUCAUUUUUUGUUUCUGAAUUUCUAUGUGAAAGUACAAUUUUGUCUUUGGAAGUAAGGGACGAGUUUUGGUUCCCAUACCAUUUUGCAUUUCCGUCAAUAUUUGUUCAAGAUGAGUUUUAAUAAACUUCUUCACAUCCUUUUCAUAGAGCUUGCUCUUAUGAGUUUGUAGACACUUAUUACAUGUGAAUUAGAGCUUUAACGAGGAUGUUAUAGUCAAAGGAAGUCCAAAGUAAUUUCUGACAGUCCAAAGUGUUCACCUGUUUUGUUUUUCCUCCUGUGAUGGAAGGGCAAAGUUCCCCAUUGCCUUGAAAAUCAUUGAUUGGUCAACAAGCCAACUUUCUUUGGUGUGCGAGCGUGCCACUGCUAGCAAUAAAAAAUCCUAACAGAUUUCUUUGAAACAGAUAACUUGCGCCCCAAGUUACUGAUUUCUAAACAAGCGAUUGUGAAUUUGGGUGAGGAAUAUCUCCCAAGUAAGUUCUUUUCCUGCCUCAGACUGGUGAGGACUUCAUAAUUUAUCAUAGUAUAAAAUUGGUAGUUCUGGCUAGAAUAGAUGAUAAUAAAGUUGACUGUUUUAGGCAGAACUCCCUUUUACAAAAUUAAGAAGGGAGAAAUCAACUCUAGAAAGACAAAAAGAUGGCUGGAAUCCCAUUUCUGCCUAGGUAGAAACUUCUGAUCCGGGCUGGACUGAGUAUGUCUGUGCUGGACUGAGCUGUUAACAACUUCAACUGCUUAGCUUCAGCUGUAAAUCAAUACCAAAGUUCAAUUUUGGCAGAGCUUUAAUCUACUUCAAGCCUUGGGAGGCUUUUGAGUAGGCAGAACUACGGCUUCUUCAGUUCGAGGGGAAAGAAGUGGCUGGACUUGAGGACUUAAUAAGCUGGAACUGCACUGUAAAAUUUGUUAAGGUUUUCAUAUUUGUGAAAACUCAAACUCUGCUUGUCUUGGCUUUUGCUGAACCAAAUUUGUAACGAGAGAAGUCUCGUUUUGAAUGACUUAUUUUCUCUAAGUCUGAACUUUGGAAGUUCUGAUCUAUAGUUGGCUUCUUUUGUGGCUCAAAUGAGCUUUUGGUUGCUCCAGUUUGUUUGAAGGUUCUUAGUGAUCAAGUGAUCAUUCUGAGUUUUUUUUUCUUUGGUUGAUUUUUGAUUGUUUGAUUGAUUGUUGAAUUUUUUGUGUGUGUCUUUUGCCCUGUUCAUCCCCUCUCAUAUUUAUAAGAAAUGCUUUGGAGAAGGGUUUCUUUCUUUUAAUAAUGGGCGGCAAAAUUCUCAAAAGAUCUUUCUUUUUUAAAUACAAAGAAGAAGAGGUUUUUAUCAAUUCUGGCAGAUAGGUCUCAAUAGUCGGUUCUUUUAAGACCAAUCACUUCUCUGUUUUUUUGAAAGAGAACCUAACCCCUCUUUAAUUCCAACUGCCCCUUUGUGAGAGCUCAAACCGUGAUGUUUAGUUUGCUUUUUCAGUUUGAACAACUCCUUGUUCUCCUGCUUAUCUCUUUUUGAGAACUUAGCCUGCGUAUAUCUUGAAAGAUGGUGCCUUCUUUGGAGUAGAAACAAUAUAUCUGAAUAUAUAAAAGGGUUUUGAUCUUCUGGUGGCAGAGAUUUCAGAGACGUCCCUUCUUUUUGCCUGCCUCUGUCAACUCUUUAUCAACCCGGUUGAAAUUGUUGACUUUCCUAAAUAAGAGAAAAAGAUUCACGUGAGUCUGUUUUCUUUUGGGCUCCUUCUCUUUUAAUCAUGCUCAAGCCCUUUUGAUUUUUCUAGAGCCAUGGGCUGCUUGCUUUUUUUUCUUUUUUGAGGCCCAAGUUUAUUCGUAGAGUCUAGAGUGCUUGGGCCCUGUGGUUUGCCUUGUUGUUUUUGGUCUUUUUGGGCUGGGUGUGCCAAAUUAGGCCCAAACACAAAAUAAAAUCAAAAGAAAAAAAAAAAGAAAAAAGCUUUAUAAAAUUUAUAAUUAAAAAAAAAAACCUAGCCCCUUCCCUAUAGACCCAUCCCACCACCUGACCAAGACCUUCGCAGGGGUGGGUGCGGUCCGGUUUGGUCCGGCUCGCAGCUCACACUAGAAUCGAAACUGGUACUAUUCAUCCGAUCCGGUUCGGUCUGAUUUUUGAAAAAAAACAAGAGAGAAACCGGAUUAAGCCUAACUGAUUAUUUUCGGUCCGAUUUUUUGGUUUGAACCGGUUCUCUAGCAAGUCACAGUAGACAAUAAGGAAAAAAAAACAUAAAUUUAGUUAAACAAUUCUUACUUUUCUGCUAAUGUUGUAAAGUCAAGGAUGGAUCCCAAAAUGGUAGAGCCCACUACCUAAUUGAUUGAAGAACAUCAUGAUGAAAGUACUGUGGGAAGGCAUCAUUACACAUUCACGGGAAGCCAAGAAACUUUGCCUAUAAGUGGACUUCCUCCCUUCAUUGUAAUUGACUGAGAACAAACAUUCAAUGAAGAGAUCAGUUUCUAUACUUUCUCUAUAUCUCAAUUCCCUCUCUACAAUUUUCUCUAGAUUUAUAACACGUUAUCAGCACGAAUAUCUCUAAAAUACCAGCUGGGAUAUUCGAUCAAAGUACUUUGCUCCAUUGUUUCCUUUCUUGGGUUUGGUUGAGUUGCUCAUACUCUUCUGUGUAUCAAUAUAGCUUAUGUGAAGCUUUGUUCCCACUGUCUCAGAUUUUUGUUUCUCUCUCUCUGUCUUUAACACUUCCAGCCCCAAUAAUGGAAGCUUUUCUGGCUAAGCUCUUUUGGCAUCACUUCGAUCAAGGCUACCCAUGCAGAGCUCCAAAUAGUCCAAAACCCACUACUACAACAACCCACUUUACUAGAGAGAGAAAUUAUGCAAUUGAUGCCCUUCUUGCUCCAUAAUUUCCAGCGCCUUGGCCUCUGCAAAGUUCAUGAAUGACAACAAGUAGUACUGACGGGAAAAAGAAGAUGCGGGUGCCUUUGCUUGGGCUUUGAUUGCAAAAUUGGUCAAUAAAAAAAGAAACAACACCGAAAGGGGGCACAGCUUUGGGUCCUGAAGAUUAUUGGUACCUUUUGUUCUCGUCCACACAGCUUUCUCAGGGAAGUGCUAAAGCAAAGCUCUCUGCCUCCUUAUUCUUUCAAUUAUUUCAUUAUUAUCCUACACUAUUUAACAUCAAUAAUAGUACAGGUGUGCUGGUUACAAGUGGAAAGGCAGAGCAAGCGUGAUAUUUAUCUAUCAUGCACUAGUUUCCUUCGCUUGCCUAUUAUAUAUAGUAAUUCUAUGGACGGUUUCACCUCUUAUAUUUUUUGUGGUGGUUUUAUCCCCAUAUUUAUUUUAUUUACUGUAUAGUGUAGGUUUAUUACCCAUACAACAGUAUCUAUUUAAAAGGAUAGCGCGGGUUUAUCGUCCACGCCUUUAUUUUUAUGUAUGGAGCAGAUUUAUUAUCCAUACAACAGUAUCUAUUUAAAAGGGUGGCGCAGGUUUAUCGUCCACGCCUUUAUUUUUAUGUAUGGAGCAGAAUUAUUGCCCAUACAACAGUAUCUAUUUAAAAGGGUGGCGCGGGUUUAUCGUCCAUGCCUUUACUUUUAUUUAAAUGUAUGGAGCAAAAUUAGUGCCCAUACAAGCAUGUUUACUUUACCGCAAAUUUACUUUUACUUAAAGUAUGAUGUGGAAUUAACCCUCAUACUUUAUGAAUUUAUUUUACUGCACAUUUACAUUUAUUUAAAGUAUGGUGAGGGUUUAUCGUCCAUAACAGUAAUUUAUUUAAAAGCAAUUUAUUUUAUGGAUUAAUUGUGUGGUAUGAUGAGUUUUUUCAGUAUACAGAUCAGGACCAGAAGUUCCUUGAUCCUCAUCAUACAAUUACAUCAGGACUUGAAGAUCCUUGAUGAUGAUAUUGAUAUGAGAGCUGGCAGUCUCUCCGGUACUAUAUUUAUAAACAUGUAAUUGGACUUGAGGGUCCUUGAUCCCUGACAUGUAAAUAAGGACCUGGGGUUCCUUAAUGAUGUAACAGUACCGUAUUGGUUAAUAGUGCCGUACACAUGGAUAAUAAUUGUACUGGCAAGUGUACUGUACACAUGAAUAGAUACGUAUUCAUGACUUGAUGAAUAGUACCGGAUAUAUGAAUAGUGACGUAUACAUAAAUAUUAACCAUUUUGGGUAAACCGUCACUAUAUACAAAAGGGAACCGGCAACUCCUUAAACUCAUGGAUGAGCAAUUAAAUGAGAUGCCAGAAGUUCCUCAAAAUAUGGACAAUUAUGUUAGGGCUUGAAGUCCCGAAAUAUGUACAGAAAAUUGUAAAAAUGUCCAUACCAUGAGAAUAUGUGAUUUUGGCCUGAGGUUCAAAAUCUAACAGUGUUGAGAACCUAAAGUUCCAACAAUUAAAUGGACAACCCUUGAGGUGUUAUUGCAAAUUGUUGUACGCCACAUAUUUCUUUGGCAUAAGAGAAUGAUGAAUUUAAUAAAGUUCGAUUAUGUUAUAAUCGACACCUCAAGGAAGAAAUAUAUUUUGUGAAUUCCGAUUGUUCAGAAUACACCGUGAAUUGGAUAAUAUCAGUAUAAACCUCAAAUGAUGAAUAGAGGCUUCCCACAUAUUUUGUUAUAUCUGGGCCGGAAGCCCAUGGACCCAAAUAUAUGAGAGAUCCUGAACUUGAAGUUGUGGGUAUAUAGUAGUUAAUGCUCUUCACUACUAUAUUGCGAUAUUAGCAUGGCUUUUACUCAAUCCGUAUUUCACGUCCAUUUGAAAAAGGCGAAUAAAUUCUGAGUUUGUGUUUAGCCCGGGCCAGAAGUUACCGGCUCACAUGCGUUGAAAUAUGAAAUUUGGGAGAGUCGAUGUGGUUAUUUGAACCUAUAAGGCACAAGGUUCCAAACCGUCAUUUUGAAAAGACGUAAAAACUACAGGUGCAAGUUUAAGAACGUGCGCAAUUAUUAUAACAGGAAAGGAGCCUACAACAUAUAGAUUUUUUCCACCUGUAAUGAAGGUGUAGGCCCUUAAAAUCUAUAAAAUUAUAUUAUGUUCUGGAAGCCUCUGAAGGAAGAGGACGGCGCCUCUUAAGCUUAGCCAUAAGCCUCUCGUGGUCUCCCAAAAUUCUUUCAUUGGAGACCUGCAGCAUGUCUAGCCUUCUCAGUGUAUCAACGGAGUACGAACUCACCAGUUUCAACGAGGCAUUAUUCUCUCCUUUAAGUUUCUCAACCUCC